UCUAACGUGGCAGAUAAGUGCGGUGGAUUUAAGCUCCACAAAUAAAGUCAUCAUGACUUUCAUUAGAA
rnacentral:tRNA from 1 species